CCUAGAGAGAACCUCCAUCCUCCGGAUACCAUCUAUGUCUCUUCACUGGAGGAGCCGCCACCGGCGAACACCAUAUAUGCCAACGACCACCAAAUUCACACCACAGAUUCCCCAAGAAUCCCUCUUUCUAACCAUGCCAUUAGUUUCCCUCGAAUCUCACCAGAGCUCGUCGAAUAUCCGUUGGAACAUUUCCGGCCACGACAUCACUACGUCCAUUUGAUACCAGAUUAGCAACAUAGCUUCCUCUCCCCAUCCUCUAACAAUUCCCCUUAACCCCAUGUCCCGAACGUGGCCGGAACUGUUCGAAUGACAUUUAUAAACUUUCCGGCCAAAACCUAAAUAAUCCAAUCCUUGCCAAAUUAGUUUCAUAAGGUUCUUGGGCUUCCCUCAUGAGGAAUUCAGUGUCAAAAAGUUUGAAUGUCACCGGAGAUGGCCGGAGUGGAAUCUUCAGUUAGCCGGUUUUUCUUUUGUUUAAGUCGUUUCAAUAUCAGUGAGUUUCCUUUCUUGGUGUAUUUCUCUUAUUUUGCUGUGUUAAUUCCCAGUUUAGUGUGCGUUAAUUGUUGUUAAUUCUCUUCUGACUUUGUGCUUAGCUAUUUAUUUGUCUAGGUUUAGUUAGUCUAUAUAAGUUGGAUAAUCAAUCGUCUUUCUAUUUGACUUUCACUAUAGUUUUGUCCUAAUUAAUUCAGAGUCAAUAUUUUGGGUGAAUUAUUGGUUUUAGUUCAUUAUGAGGUUUUAAUUAGUUAGUAUUCAAGGAUGGUUAGUUUGUUCGGGUAGUACUUCUGAGGUGAUAAUUAGCAGAUUUUGUUAAUCUAGGUUAGCAAUAUUCAGAAAUAAAAAAGUAAAUUCCAGGUUAGUUUAGAAUAUAAUAGAGGAAACUAGAAUUCACUAGGAUGUUCUAGAAGGGGUUCAAAGUGAAAGUCAGUAAAAAUGGGUGUUAGCUUGCAUAAUAAGUUAAAAAACUAAGGGACUAGAGUUGAAAUGAAAUGAGGGACACCUAAAGGGAAAACUAAAAUUUGAGGCUCAUUUUUUGUUGCCUAUAAAAGGGCAUCAAAAUGCCUUGAGGAGGGGUCUUCUUUUUCAGCCAUCAAAUUCCCUUCGAAGAUCUGAUCCAGCUGGCAAACUUCAAAUUUAGAGUCUGUUUAGUUCUCUAUAGAAAAUCCAAAAAAAACAUAGGAAAUCGCAUAAAAAAACCACAAACAAGUUACUGUUCCAUUGAUAUCUCAAGUUUAAUCUCAGGUUUUCCUAUUUCGAAUUUGGUGUUUGAGGUCUCAUAGGUAUACAAAUUGAUUUUGGGUAGGUUUGAGUCCAAUUGAACUAGGUUGUGAUCGAGAUUGCAUUUCUGCUGGAAGUGUGAGUGUAUUCUAAGUAAUGUUCGAGAUUUUUGGUCUGUUUUGGAACUGGUUCGGUUUGACCUCUCAUUUGGCGAAUUUUAAUUCUUUUCUUGUGGUUGUUGCUGAUUAUUUCGGUUGAAUCUCGUUAGUUUUUUUUUUUUUGCAAUUGUGAAGAAUAGGUUCAAAGGGAUUCGUAAAUGUUAUUAAAAAUGAGAAUUAAACUCAAUUUGGUAAUAUGAUGUAAUUAAGACAAGAGGUGUUGCUCUGAUGGUAAGCAACCUCCACUUCCAGCCGAGAGGUUGUGAGUUCGAGUCUCCCCAAGAGCAAGGUGGGAAGUUCUUGGANNNNNNNNNNNNNNNNNNNNNNNNNNNNNNNNNNNNNNNNNNNNNNNNNNNNNNNNNNNNNNNNNNNNNNNNNNNNNNNNNNNNNNNNNNNNNNNNNNNNNNNNNNNNNNNNNNNNNNNNNNNNNNNNNNNNNNNNNNNNNNNNNNNNNNNNNNNNNNNNNNNNNNNNNNNNNNNNNNNNNNNNNNNNNNNNNNNNNNNNNNNNNNNNNNNNNNNNNNNNNNNNNNNNNNNNNNNNNNNNNNNNNNNNNNNNNNNNNNNNNNNNNNNNNNNNNNNNNNNNNNNNNNNNNNNNNNNNNNNNNNNNNAGGUGGGAAGUUUUUGGAGGGAAGGAUGCUGGGGGUCUAUUUGGAAACAGCCUCUCUACCCAAGGGUAGGAGUAAGGUCUGCGUACACACUACUCUCCUCAGACCCCACUAAGUAGGAUUAUAUUGGGUUGUUGUUGUUGUUGUUGAUGUAAUUGGUAGUUAAAGUUCAAAAAUAAAAAAGGGUGCAAUCGAUUCCUGGGUCCCGUGAAAUAGCAAUUCAGUAGUACCAGCUUAAUUCUUACAAUUUGUUGUAUUUUCCAUUCAACUUCAUACAUUAUAUUUUUGGUGAUUGCCCGUGAUUUGUAAAUAAGUGGGCCAAUUGAUAGCCCAAUUAAGAUAUUGCUUAAGACUCAACUUGAUUCCCAAAGUUGCAAGGCGUAGUUUGGGCCUGCCAGACCCAGUUGAGCUUUGUUUUGAUGAUGUUACAAGGUUCCCUUUUUAAAGAGUAAAGUAGCUUCAAAAUAACAAUAAUUAAUUAAGAUUUAAAUUUAUUUUAGAGAAAAAUAGAAAAUCGUAGUCACUUUUAGGCUGGCCUUUAUAUAAAAUGAUGAGACGAGCCUCGCAAAAUAAAAUACAAAAUACAGGGCCUCAAUAAAUGUUAUAUGAAAAUACUUAGAAUUCGUGAAGUCCAUUUAGCGAAUUUCACGACAUUCCCCAAAAUAAUAUUACGUUAGACUGUUUAAGCACGAUUUUAAUAAAAUUACCUUCUUAAACUCGGGUGCGCAUUGAUGCGACCCAAAUUCAAAUCUCAACGGAGCCAAAAUGUGUUAACAACCACGGGUGCAUUGAUUGCGACGUGGUUCGAGAUGCAUAUUUGCAUCGUUUAAAUUCUUUUAAAAAUAAUGAUAAAAGCGGUUUACAAAUAAAAGGCACAUAAGCUAAAAUAUAUUUUGAAAUAAGAUAAAAUCAAAUACAACAGUUGAGCGAAUGUGCUAGAAGCAUGGAACCCAGAAAUGCCUAACACCUUCUCCCAGGUUAACAGAAUUCCUUUCUCGAAUUUUUGGUUUACUGACUGUUAACAAACUCAUAUCAUUCCUCGAUUCAGGAUUAAACGGUGAUUAGGGACACCAUUAAUCUCCCAAGUGACGACUCUGAAUAAUUAAUAAUUGAAUCCCAUUCUGAUUGCCCUUUAAGUGGAAAAACUCCUUUACGCCUUUGCAGGUGUAGUGAAAAAGGAGGUGUGAUAGCUCUGACGACCCUGCUGGGAAUAAGAACCCAGAACAUUUUAUUCAGGGUUCAGGAUUUGAGCUUAGAAUAAUUGUUGUAUUUGACUAUAUCUGGUUGUCCCACAUGUUUCAUGCUAUUUGUGCUAAAUAUUUAACGCUUUGAUAUUAUCUGGACUGUAUAUAAACUGUGCCGAAACCCUUCUCUUCUCACAUUGGGGGAUGUGCUUACUGGUUGAGACUCCCUAUUCUGUUGGUGUCAUACCCAGAAAUAAGAAAGAGACUCAGAUAAGUUACAAAGUCGGACGAUCUCGCGGGUCCCCGGUACGUAGCCCCCUCCUCGACUCGAGUUGUCCCUCAGGAACACUGUUUAGAAAACAUACCUAGGUCUUUGAAUAUGGAAUAAUGGACUUCAUGCCGGAUCACAAGUAGGAGUGCUUAUUUGCAUCAUGCUGCAUUUGAUUUAGGGUACUCAAUAUAGGGGUUGGGUCCCUCUAGGACUACCAAGUCGAAAAUGAAAAAAAUCAUCCUGAUGCAUCCUACUUAUUCUAUGCAUUUAUUUGUUCGGACCUGCAUGCUGAACGGCCUCUGAAUAUCUGAAUUUUGGGAAAAUUGAGGAAAAACAGAGAAAUAGCAGAAAAAACCAAUGCUCAAAUACUGUCGAAACUCUGCUGAAAUUUUGAGAAAAUGAAAAAGAAAAUGUUUUAUUUUAAAUAGUUUGUUUUACUCAAAAAGCACAAAAAAAGGAAAACAAUCUUAUUUUUGGUUUUUCUUGUUUUCAAAAUAGUUUAUUUGCCACCGAAAAAAGAAAAAUAGGUUGUUUUCUUGUUUGUUGAAAAAAAAAAAAAAGAAAAAGAGUCUUUUAAUUUUAGUUUGGAAAAAUAGGUUGUUUUAUUGUUUGUUGAAAAAGAAAAGAAAAGGAUAUUUUAUUUUUAGUUUUGAAAAAUAGGUUGUUUUAUUGUUUGUUGAAAAGGAAAAAGAAAAAAAGUCUUGUUUCUGAAAGUAGUUUUUUUUCGCUUAUGAAAUGCCAAACAUGAAAAUGAAAAAGAGUCCUGUUUUAAAAUGGUUCGGUUAAUUUGUCUGAACUAUGGUAGGUUUGAAUUUCACCGGAUAUGAGAUAUGUAGGCAAGCCUCAUCGGGUCCAAUCUCCCCUUUGCAAAAAUAGCCAAACAAUGUCAAAUUUAAUUUUCGUCAAAAAAUAGCCGAAUGAUUCCGAAAGGGACGCCGGAAGGCUUCUUUUGCAAGAACAUCCACCUUUGGUCAUUUGUUAAAGAUUUUGGCCGGUUAGCCAACGUAACCUUAAAAUCAUCGUCUCCGUGGCCCUGAAAGGCCGUGUUUGCAAAACUGGUUCUUUUAUUUUAAUUUUCGAGAAAGAAAGAGUCAAUGGUCAAGUGAAUACUGUUUGGAUUUUUUGUCAAAUUAAGCCGAGCCAGCUUCGGCAGUGUCUUUAACCGUGCUUGCUGAGAUGGCCUUAGAGUAUCUUUCAGUUGUUGAAAGGCUAUUUUCGGAAAAAAACGAACAAGUUUGGGAAAUGGCAUAAAAUAAUCCUUCCCGACCUCAAAAUUCAUGUGAAAUUGGGAAUGUGCCACGUUUGCAAAAACAGCCAUUUGGUUAAAAUUGCAAAUAGGGAAAGGAAUUUGUCCAUUGGUUUUGGUUUGUAAUUCUUUUGAUUAGAGUAGGUGGGUCAUUUGAUAUUCAAGUGUUUUAUUUUUCUUUCCAAAAAAAAAUGUCUAGUUUUGUAAUAGAAUGUUUCGUUAGUGAAAAUUGAAGAAUUCCCAAAAAUGGUUUCUUUAUUUUUUGCAUUUAUUUUCACGAACAAAGCUUGGUCUAAUUCAUGCGAGGUCAUGAUACGUAGGCAAUCUCCAUAGGAUUCCACCAUAACCAAAAAAAAGAGAAAGAAAAGAAGAGAGCGGAAAAACAAGGAAAAAAAGAAUGGAAAAGGUGAGAAAAGAAAAGAGCGGAAACACAAGAAAGGGAUAGAAUAAGAAAAUUGAAAAGAGAAAAGAAAGAAAGAAAGAAAAAAGAAAAGAAAGGACGAAAGAAAAGAGAAAAGAAACAAAAGAAAGAACGCUGUCAUGAGAAACGAUCGGGAUGAUGCGUGCGAUCAAGCUAAUACAUAAUAGAAAUGGUUAAUUGUAUAGGUGCAUUCACACCAACGUUCGGUUAUCCAAUCUGUUAAAGACUAAUCCCUAAAAAAGUUGUUAUCUAAAUGUGUGAGUCCAGACAAGUGGUUAGUUGAUCAGGCAUUUUGUCAACCCAUCCAUACAACACCCGGUCGAAAGAUAAAGUGAACAUGCCAGGACAUGAAUCAGAGACAAACAUUGUGGACAUAUCGAAAGAGGUUGAGGGGACAGAGGUUCACGCAAUGAAAGAGGAGAUGCGUAAACUGAAACAACAAAUGGAUGAAAUGUAUCAGGCCUGGUCUCAGGGGCAUCCGGUGGUAGUGUAUCCCGCCAACCCAUCUUAUAUCCCACCUCUGGUUCAGUCUCAGGAGCCUCCCACCCCAAACUCAUCUCCAGCCUUCCAUUACUACACACAAGGCUAUGGCACCACUUCCUAUGCUCCUCCAACUCCACCACACAAACAAAACCCUCAUCCACCAAUUGUUCUUGUCUUUGUGGCACCUUUACCGGCCACACUGCAAAGAUCAUCCAGUGAGCCAUUGUUCCAAGCUCAAGAUAAUCAAUUAUAUCCUCCUGAACAUAUAUUCAAAACUCCUGGGCCAUAUAUUCAAAGCUCCUGAGCCAUAUACCUAUGCACCCCGUUUUGAGAUCCCGGAAGAAAUCGAGAAGCCGUCUAAGAGUUCGGAGCAGGAAGAAGUGCUACACAAAGUAAAAAGCCUGGAGCAGUCUUUCAGGAAUAUGCAUGGAUUGGGCUGCCAAGUCAGUGUGGCCUAUAAAGAUUUGUGCUCUUUCCCCUUGUUCAGUUGCGUGUGGGGUUCAAAAUGCCAAAUUUUGAUUUGUAUGAGGGACAUGGUAAUCCAGUGACACACCUUCGAGGUUUUUGCAGUAAAAUGAGAGGGGCCGGUGGGAAGGAUGAGCUGUUGAUUGCAUAUUUUGGCCAGAGUCUGAGCGGGUCUGCACUAGAAUGGUACACGGGGCAGGAUCCUGGUAGGUGGUACACCUGGGAUGACUUGGUGCAGGCAUUCAUUGGUCAUUUCCUAUAUAAUCUUGAGAUCGUCCCCAACCGUCUAUCAUUUUUGAAACUCGAGAAAGAGACUAGAGAGAGCUUUAUGGAGUUUGUUUUCCGUUGGAGGGAACAUGCAGUGAGAGUGGAUCCGCUAAUGAGAGAAAGUAAAAUGGUGGACUACUUUUUACAGGCUUUGUAGACAACUUACUUUGGUCACCUAGUAACGGCAAUUGGCAAAUCUUUUAAUGAAGUGGUGAAGAUUGGAGCUAUGAUUGAGAAAGGAUUGAAAUCCAAUAAAAUCAUGAACUAUUCAACGAUCAAAGCAACCACCCAGGCCAUCCCAAGCGGCACUGAGGGUGUGCUGGGAAAGAAGAAGAAAGAAGAGGUUGCAACAGUCAAAGCAGGAGCUUGGCCCGGAUCUAGAGGCCUUUCACCAUACUACCAACCCAGACCUCACAACCCAAAUUACCCAUAAACUCCAUAUGGCCCUCCACAAUACUACUAUCCACCGCCAGACCCACAUUUUUUCGUUCACCAAGCUCAAACUUAUACCCAGCCUCCGACUCAUGCGCAAUGGCGUGCACCGGCUCCCCAAAGUACAUACCCACUUCCACAAAACACAUAUACACUUCCUUGAGUUCUAUGGUAAUGAAACAAGUUCAAAAAUGGUUGCAAGUUUAGUAAUCAAUCCCACUUGGCCUUGUAGUUACGGAAUAGAUUUGAGAUGUUCGUUUCAGUAGUUGAAUCUCGUUAGUUUUUUUUUUUUUUUGCAAUUGUGAAGAAUAGGUUCAAAGGGAUUGGUAAAUGUUAUUAAAAAUGAGAAUUAAACUCAAUUUGGUAAUGCGAUGUGGUUGGUAGUUAAAGUUCAAAAAUAAAAAAGAGUGCAAUUGAUUCCUAAAGUUCAAAAAUGAAAAAGAGUGCAAUUGAUUUCUGGGUCCCGUGAAGUGGCAAUUCAGUGGUACCAGCUUAAUUCUUACAAUUUGUUGUAUUUUCCUUUCAAAUUCAGACAUUUGUCUUUUGGUGAUUGCCCGUGAUUUGUAAAUAACUAGGCCAAUUGAUAGCCCAAUUAAGAUAUUGCUUAAGACUCAACUUGAGUCCCAAAGCUGCCGCGCAUGGUUUUGGCCUGCCAGGCCCACUUGUGCUUUGUUUUGACAAUAUUACAAGGUUCCUUGUUUAAAGAGUAAAGUAGCUUCAAAAUAACAAUAAUUAAUUAGGAUUUUAUUUUAUUUUAGAGACAAAUAAAAAAUCAUAGUCACUUUUAGGUUGGCCUUUUAAUAAUAUGAUGAGACGAGCUUCACCAAGUAAAAUAUAAAAUGCGGGGCCCUCAAUAAAUGUUAUAUGAAAAUACUCAGAUUAUGACGUGGUUCAAGAAACAUUUUCUCAACGUUGUAAUUCUUUUAAAAAUAAUGAUAAAAGCAGUUUACGAAUAAAAGGCACAUAAGCUAAAACAUGUUUUGAAAUCAGUUAAAAUCAAAUACAACAGUUGAGCGACCGUGCUAGAACCACGGAACCCGGGAAUGCCUAACACCUUCUCCCGGGUUAACAGAAUUCCUUGCUCGGAUAUCUGGUUCGCGGAUUGUUAGAAGAGUCAUAUCUUUCCUCGGUUCGGGAUUAAUCCGGUGACUUGGGACACUAUUAAUCUCCCAAGUGGCGAAUCUGAAUAAUUAAUAAUUAAAUCCCAUUCUGAUUGUCCUUUAAGUGGAAAAACGCCUUUACACCUUUGCGGGUAUAGUGAAAAAGGAGGCGUGGCACACAUAAGCUAUAUUUUUGUCGCAGAAGCGAAAAAGGUCUGGACAGAAACAUUUAGUUUGACCUUCGCGAAUUUUUGAAAGAACACAACAUUUCCACUUCGGACUAAGAAGGUUUCGGGCGUUUUUGAAUAGGGUUAUGAGAGCUUUCAUCAGGUAUGGAUUCUUGGAUUUAGAAUAUGUUAUUAUGGUGCAAAAUCAUGGAUUAACAUUGAAAACCCAAGGAAUUAAGUGUUAAAAAAUGUAGGUUAGGGCUUGAAACUUAAGAGAGUUUAAUCUAGAGAUUUGAGGGGUCAAGUGGUCUUCGAUUCUUGUGAAUUUGAUAUGCAUAGACUCGUGGCAAGAUAAGGAUCAUUUUUGUGUAAAUAUUUCUAACUUUCAAGAAGUGGUCCCGGGGCUCGUGUUUUUAAAAUUUCAUGAUUUUCGAUAUUUUUCGAGCCUUUUUGAUUGGGCUAUAUUCCCUUAGCCUAUUGUAAUGUAUUUGUUGUGGUUUUGGCCAGAUUCAACGUGUAAUGAGGCUAAUUCGAGAGGAAUGUGUAUUGCGAGAUAGUCUUUGGCCGGCUAGAGGUGAGUAAUAUAUGUAAAUGCUGAUCUGAGGGUUUUAAACCUCAGACUUUCAAAUCAUAGUACUAUAUUGAGGCGUGAAAUGCAUUUCACGGCGAGUGCAGGGUCUUUUACUAUUGGGGAUUGUGACUUGGUCCAUCCCUAGUGUUAUAUCUACUAUAUUGGUAAUUGAGACGCAUACUUCAUUACUAUGAAUUGGGCUUAUUGCCAUGUUUGGGGCGUUAUGCCGACCUUUAGAAUGCUUAGGGGAUCCUUAGAGAAGAACUACCCUAUUCACGAUUUAGAGUUGGCUACUAUUGUUCAUGCUUUGAAGACUCGAAGGAACUACUUAUAUGGCAUAUCUUGUGAGGUAUUCACCGAUCAUCGUAGUCUUCAACAUUUAUUCAAGCAAAAGGACCUUAAUUUGAGGCAGCGGAGGUGGCUUGAGUUGCUUGAGGAUUAUGAUAUUACUUUUCUGUAUCAUCCGUGAAAGGCCAAUGUACUGGACUAUACUUUGAGAUGAAAGGCUGUUAUUAUGGGGAGUUUUGCAUACAUUCCAGUUGGGGAGAGACCCGUUGUAGUUGAUAUUCAGGAGUUGGCCAAUCGAUUGGUGCGGUUUGAUAUUUAAGAGCCGAGCCGAGUGUUGGUGAGUGUGGUUUCUCGGUCUUCUUUAUUUGAUUGCAUCAGAGAGCGCCAGUAUGAUGACCCGCAUUUUCUUGUUCUUAGAGAUCGGGUUCAGCAUGGUGAUGCUAGGGAUGUGAAUGUCGGUCAUGAUGGUGUAUUGAAAAUGAGGGGUCGGAUUUGCGUGCCCAAUGUGGAUGGGCUUAGAGACAUGAUUCUUGAGAAGGCCCACCGUUUGCGGUAUUCCAUUCAUCCGGGUGCCACAAAGAUGUAUCAGGACUUGAGAUAGCACUAUUGGUGGAGGAGAAUGAAAAAAGACAUCGUGGGAUUUUUAGCUCGAUGUCUCAACUGUCAGCAGGUAAAAUAUGAGCAUCAGAGACCGGGCCGUUUGCUUCAGCGGAUGGUUAUUCCUGAGUGGAAAUGGGAGAGAGAUAUUAUAGAUUUCGUGAGUGGUCUUCCUUAGACUUUGAAGAAGUUCAAUUCGAUUUGGGUGAUUGUAGAUCGGCUGGCCAAGUCUACGCAUUUCAUUCUAGUGUGUACUACAUAUUCUUCAUAGCGGCUGGCAGGGAUUUUUAUCCGUGAGAUUGUCCAAUUGCAUGGUGUUCUAGUUUCUAUUAUUUCGGAUAGAGGUACUCAGUUCACUUCUCAGUUUUGGAGGAGUUUUCAGCGAGAGUUGGGUACUUUAGUGGAGUUGAGUUCACCGUUUCAUCCUCAGAUAGAUGGGCAGUCUGAUCGAACUAUCCAGAUAUUGGAGGAUAUGUUGAGGGCAUGUGUGAUUGAUUUUGGAGGUUCUUGGGAUGAGUUUUUGCCACUUGUAGAGUUUGCCUACAACAACAACUAUCACUCCAGUAUUCAGAUGGCACUAUAUGAGGCAGUGUAUGGGAGGCGGUGUAGAUCUCCGAUUGGUUGGUUCGAGCCCGGCGAGGCUAGGUUGUUGGGGAUAGAUUUAGUCCAGGAUUCCUUAGAGAAAGUGAAGGUGAUUCAAGAUAGACUUCGUAUAGCUCAGUAGCGUCAGAAGAGUUAUGCGGACCAGAAGGUCCGAGAUGUGUCUUAUAUGGAGGGUGAGAAGGUUUUGCUUAAGGUUUGGCCCAUGAAGGGUGUUAUGAGGUUUGGGACGAAAGGGAAGCUGAGUCCGCGGUUCAUAGGACCUUUUGAGGUACUUAUGAAGGUUGGAGAGGUGGCUUACACGCCUGCUUUUCCACCCAGCUUAUCGCGUGUCCAUCCGGUAUUUCAUGUGUCUAUGCUCCGGAAGUAUGCUGGGGACCCCUCUCAUGUUUUGUAUUUCAGCACUGUUCAUUUGGAUGAUGAUAUGACUUAUGAUGUGGAGCCAUUGGUUAUUUUGGGUCGUCAGGUUCGGAAUUGAGAUCAAAGGAUAUAGCUUCAGUAAAGGUACAGUGGAGAGGUCGGCCCGUGGAGGACGCUACUUGGGAUACCGAGCAGGAGAUGCGGAGCAGAUACCCUCACCUAUUUGAGACUCCAGGUAUGUUUCUUGACUCGCUCGAGGAUGAGCAUUUGUUUUAGUUGGGGAGGAUGUGACGACCCGACCUGUCAUCUCAUGUGAUCCCAUCCCGCUUUCCCCGUUUUAUUCUUCUUCAUGUGUCAUUAUAUGUGUUCAGUGAGUUUGAGUUGGUUCGGAUCAAGUUUGGUAAUGUUAGUUUGGAAAAGUCAACCGGAAGUUGACUUAUGAGUUAGAGGGCUUGUAUGUGAUUUUCGAUGAUUUGGUUAGUUUCGGGGAUGAUUUGAGGCUUGGGAGCGCAAUCGAAAGUGAUUUUAAAGGUUCGAUGUAGAAAUUAGCCUAUUUUGACGAAGUUAGGACUUUGGCAAAAUCUGUUUGGUAGGAGAGAUUUUGAUCCGAGGGUCGGAAAAGAAUUCCGAGAGUUUCAAUAGAUUUGUUAGCUGAUUUGGGUUGUAUGCGCAAAAUUUCAGUUGAUUCGGAGGUGCUUAGGUCGGGUUUUUGAUUGAAUAUGAGUUUCGGGAGUUUUGGUUGAACGUAGGCCUUGAUUUGAUGAAAUUUGAUGAUUUUGGGUGUUAACUAUAGUGUUUUGACCAUUCAAAAAAGUUUGAGUAAGGUAUUGGGUCACAUAUGUGUUUUUGGUUGAGGUCCCGGGGGCCUCGGGAUAUUCUCGGAUGGCCAACGGGGUGGAAUUUGGACUUGGGGGAUUGUUGAGUUAUCUGGUAUCUCGUAUUUCCGCAUCUGCAAAAAUGGGACCGUUGAAGCGGUGCUGCAGAUGUGGAAGGGAAGCCGCGGAUGCGGUUUUUGAGGCUUAGCUAUUUUCCGUAGACGCGGUCGGUGUGCUGCAGAAUCGGUCAUCGCAGAAACGGUCACCACAAAAGCGGUUAUGGACCGCAGAGGCAGUCUUGGGCAAUUUAAGGAAAACCAUAGAAGCGGUGGAAAGACCGUAGAAGCAGUAACCGCAUAAACUGUAUUUUGGUCGCAGAAGCAAAAAGGUCUAGAUAGAAUUAUUUAAUUUGACCUUCGCUAAUUUUUGAAAGAACACAACAUUUCCAUUUUGGACUAAUCAUCAGGUAUGGAUUCUUGGAAUUAGAAUAUGUUACUAUGCUGUAAAAUCAUGGAUUAACAAAAAAAACCCAAGGUAAUAAAAGAUAAAUAUGGAGGUUAGGGCUUGAAACUUAAGAGAGUUUAAACUAGGGAUUUCAGGGGUCAAAUGGACUCUGAUUCUUGUGAAUUUGAUAUGUAUAUACUUGUGGCAAGAUAAUUAUCAUUUUGGUGUAAAAACUUCAGACUUUCAAGAAGUGGGUCCGAAGCUCGGGUUUUGGAAAUUUCAUGAUUUUUGAUAUUUUUUGAGUCUUUUUGAUUGUGCUAUAUUCCCUUAGCGUAUUAUAAUGUAUUCAUUGCAUUUUUGGCCAGAUUCAACGCGCGAGGGGGUCGAUUCGAGAGGAAAGGGCAUUGCGAGCUAGUCUUUGGCCGGCUAGAGGUGAGUAAUAGAUGUAAAUGCUGCUCUGAGGGUUUGAAACCCCAGACUUUCACAUCGUAACGCUAUUGAGGCGGAGCAUGUUUUUUUCACAACGAGUGCGGGGCCGUUUACGGUUGGGGAUUUUGACUUGGUCCAUCCCAAGUGUUAUUUCUACUAUAUUGGCGUUUGAGACGCAUACUUUAUUACAGUGAAUUGGGCUUAUUUCCAUGUUUGGGGCCUUAUGCCGACCUGUAGAAUGCUUAGGGGAUCCUUAUGUGUUUUCCUCGCUUAUUUGCAUAAACUAUACUCUUAGUUAUGUUUUCAACUGUUAAAAAUAUAAUAAGAACUGUAUUUUUGAACCUUAAUAUUAAAUGAAAAGGAUAUGAGGGCUAAGAUCCUAUAGUAUGUCAUGCCCGAGCGGUUGUGACUUUAUUUGAUUGAGAUGGGUCGAGGACCCGAUAGUGAGGAUGUUUUUCCUUGACAUGGAUCAGAUUGUACGCCGCAGCAAUGAUAUAUUGAUAUUGAGGCCGAGAGCCUAUUUGAUGCCACGAGAUGACUGAUAUUGCGCUUGGGCUUUAGGAGCCCCUCUGAAGUCUGUACACACCCCAAUGAGCGUCGUCGAUGAUAAAUAAAUGGAGCGGGCUGCACGCCGCAGCGGGUACUAGAGUUUAUCGUUAUAUGUGUUGCAACUUGUCAUGCAUUAUUUCUUAACUGUGUUACAUGUUGAUUACCGUUUUCACUGAUAUUAAUCUUCAAUUGCUAGAUAUAUAUUACUUUGAGUAUUUUCUGUGAUUUCUUACCUUCGGACUGUAUUUAUGCUUAUUACUGACUAGGUCAGAGUACUCACUUUACUCCCUACACCAUGCACGCAGAUCCAGGUUCUUCUCAGGCUGAGUAGUUCCAGUUGAUCAGCAGAGUUAGCUUUUGGGAGUAUCGAGGUAGCUGCACAGCGUUCACAGCCAUUGAUUUCUCCCUUUAUCCCUAUCUUUUAUUUCCGUACUUCUGCUUCUAGAUAGACUUUCAGUAGGAUGGAAGCUCUGUAUUUAGAUGAUCAUAGUCGUGACACCGGAUCCAUGUUUUGGGAUUAUAUUCUGUAUUUUGUUAUAUUUUUUCAUUGUUAUCAGUAUCUCUAGAUCUUUGACUUAAGUGGUUUAGUGAAUUCUCUAUCGUAUUUAACUACAUCUUUU
rnacentral:lncRNA from 1 species